rnacentral:rRNA from 1 species
CUACGGGUUGCUCCAGUGGGGAAUAUUGGACAAUGGGGGAAACCCUGAUCCAGCAAUGCCGCGUGUGUGAAGAAGGCCUGCGGGUUGUAAAGCACUUUCGGUUGGGAGGACUGCUUCCAGCACUAAUAUUGUUGGAAGUUGACGUUACCUUCAGAAGAAGCACCGGCUAACUCCGUGCCAGCAGCCGCGGUAAUACGGGGGGUGCAAGUGUUAAUCGGAAUUACUGGGCGUAAAGCGCGCGUAGGCGGCUAGAUCAGUCGGGUGUGAAAGCCCCGGGCUUAACCUGGGAACUGCAUCCGAUACUGUCGAGCUUGAGUACAGGAGAGGAGAGUGGAAUUCCACAUGUAGCGGUGAAAUGCGUAGAUAUGUGGAGGAACACCAAUGGCGAAGGCAGCUCUCUGGCCUGAUACUGACGCUGAGGUGCGAAAGCGUGGGGAGCAAACAGGAUUAGAUACCCUAGUAGUC